GUUUUGGUGUGUCUCCACCAUGAACUGCAUACCUCUACUAUUCCCACUCCUCUUGCUCUACACAGGCUCUGUGGUCUCCUAUGAGCUGACUCAGCCACCCUCAGUCUCAGUAGCCCCAGGACAGACAGCCACAAUCACCUGCUCUGGAGAUGCAUUGCCUAAAAAAUAUGCACACUGGUUCCAGCAGCAGCACCCAGGACAGAGCCCUCUCCGGGUAAUAUACGAGGAUACUAAGCGACCCUCAGGGAUCCCGGAGAGAUUCUCUGGGUCCAGUUCAGGGACAACAGCCACCCUGACCAUCACCAGAACUCAGACUGAAGAUGAGGCUGUCUAUUACUGUUUAUCAUCAUAUGAUGAUAGCGGUAAUGAAGUUCCCACAGUGACAGAGGCAGAUAGGGAAAAAUUUUGA